rnacentral:rRNA from 1 species
GCGAGUGAAGCGGCAACAGCUCAAAUUUGAAAGCUGGCUCCGGCCCGCAUUGUAAUUUGCAGAGGAUGCUUUUGGUGAGGUGCCUUCCGAGUUCCCUGGAACGGGACGCCACAGAGGGUGAGAGCCCCGUAUGGAUGGACACCAAACCUGUGUAAAGCUCCUUCAACGAGUCGAGUAGUUUGGGAAUGCUGCUCAAAAUGGGAGGUAAAUCUCUUCUAAAGCUAAAUACCGGCCAGAGACCGAUAGCGCACAAGUAGAGUGAUCGAAAGAUGAAAAGCACCUUGAAAAGGGGGUUAAACAGUACGUGAAAUUGUUGAAAGGGAAGCGUUUAUGACCAGACUUGCGCCGGGCAGCUCAUCAGGGGUUCUCCCCUGUGCACUCUGCCCGGCUCAGGCCAGCAUCGGUUCUCGUGGGAGGAUAAGAACGGUAGGAAUGUGGCCCCCUCUCGGGGGGGUGUUAUAGCCUGCCGUACGAUACUCUCGUGGGGACCGAGGUUCGCGCUCCGCAAGGAUGCUGG